AUUCGCCCUUAGAGUUUGAUCCUGGCUCAGGACGAACGCUGGCGGCGUGCUUAACACAUGCAAGUCGAACGGGGAUAGAUCGGGAGUAAUCCUGAUUUAUCUUAGUGGCGGACGGGUGCGUAACGCGUGAGCAAUCUGUCCUCAAGAGGGGGAUAACAACUGGAAACAGUUGCUAAUACCGCACGAGACCACAGUUCUGCAUGGAACAGGGGUUAAAGGAGAAAUCCGCUUGAGGGUGAGCUCGCGUCCCAUUAGAUAGUUGGUGAGGUAACGGCCCACCAAGUCUGCGAUGGGUAGCCGAUCUGAGAGGAUGACCGGCCACAUUGGAACUGAGAAACGGUCCAGACUCCUACGGGAGGCAGCAGUGGGGAAUAUUGGGCAAUGGGCGCAAGCCUGACCCAGCAACGCCGCGUGAGGGAAGAAGGUUUUCGGAUCGUAAACCUCUGUUGUAGGGGACGAGGAAAAGACGGUACCCUACGAGGAAGCUCCGGCUAACUACGUGCCAGCAGCCGCGGUAAUACGUAGGGAGCGAGCGUUGUCCGGAAUGACUGGGCGUAAAGGGCGCGUAGGCGGUUUUGUAAGUCUGGAGUGAAACCCCCGUUUUCAAGGCGGGGCCUGCUUUGGAGACUGCAGGACUUGAGUGAUGGAGAGGAUAGCGGAAUUCCCGGUGUAGCGGUGAAAUGCGUAGAGAUCGGGAGGAACACCAGUGGCGAAGGCGGCUAUCUGGACAUAGACUGACGCUGAGGCGCGAAAGCGUGGGGAGCAAACAGAAUUAGAUACCCUGGUAGUCCACGCUGUAAACGAUGGAUGCUAGGUGUAGGAUGUAUCGACCCCUUCUGUG
rnacentral:rRNA from 1 species